UGAGGAAUAUUGGUCAAUGGGCGGGGAGCCUGAACCAGCCAAGUCGCGUGAGGGACGACGGUCCUAUGGAUUGUAAACCUCUUUUGUCGGGGAACAAAGGCGCCCACGGGUGGGCGGAUGAGUGUACCCGAAGAAAAAGCAUCGGCUAACUCCGUGCC
rnacentral:rRNA from 1 species